rnacentral:lncRNA from 1 species
AGGAACUCGUUGAUUUGUCAAACUUAUGGCUACACACAGCUGGAAUGGAGACGGACUCCACUGAGGAGACUCAUACAGGACAGGAGGGAAUUUUAAGAGGAUAACCCUGACCCACAGAGCCAGUGUGUGCGGCUGAGGUGCUCAGACUGGCAGGUGAAAUGACUUCAUUAGUGCCCUGGCUCCUGGUGGGAUGAGAGUGGAAACCCAGCCUUCUGAGUUGAAGAACUGGAACAAACAUCAGCCCUGACACAUUGAUGUCAGUUUACCUUUGUGAGAAACAGGAACGAAAUGUGAACAUCUAUUUCAGGGGGAAGAAAAUAGGGCUGUUUUGAGGAGAUGUGGCUGAGAAAACAGAAAAAGAGAAUUACAGGCCUGAAAUCCCAGCACUCUGGGAGGCUGAGGUAAGAGGAACGCUUGAUUCCAGGGAUCUGAGACCAGCCUGGGCAACAUGACGAAACCCUGUCUCUAUUUAAAAAACGACAUUUAGCGGGCUGUGGUGGUGUGCAUCAGUGGUCCUAACUACUCAGGAGGCUAAGUUGGGAGGACUGCCUGAGCGUGGGCGGCCGAAGCUGCAAUGAGCCAUGAUUGUGCCUCUGCUCCAGCCUGGGUGACAGAACAAGACUCUUCCUAAAAGAAAAAAAAAAAAAAAGGAACGACGAAUCAGGCCAGGCACAGUGGCUCAAGCCUG